UACGUAGGGUGCGAGCGUUGUCCGGAAUUAUUGGGCGUAAAGAGCUCGUAGGCGGUUUUGUUUGCGUCGGCCGUGAAAACCUGCAGCUUAACUGUGGGCCUGCGGCCGAUACGGGCAGACUUGAGUUCGGUAGGGGAGACUGGAAUUCCUGGUGUAGCGGUGAAAUGCGCAGAUAUCAGGAGGAACACCGGUGGCGAAGGCGGGUCUCUGGGCCGAUACUGACGCUGAGGAGCGAAAAGCGUGGGGGAGCGAACAGG
rnacentral:rRNA from 1 species